rnacentral:lncRNA from 1 species
AGGAAGGGAGGCAAGGCGAAAGGCAUGCACUGGGUACCGCCGAAACGAAUAGCUAACAUAGUUAUCCCGGUGAUUUUGCCCGAAGAGUUUAGGGCAGAGUCUGAUUAUGCUCCUCCAACAGUUCACGCCAAACGUUGUACUUCACAAAAGGUAGAAAACAAAGAACCAAAUCCUGAGACUAGGGUGCCCACUCUCCAGAAAAAAGAAGA